rnacentral:rRNA from 1 species
UACGUAGGGGCAAGCGUUGUCCGGAAUCAUUGGGCGUAAGCGCGCGUAGGCGGCCCGGUAAGUCCGCUGUAAAAGUCCAGGGCUCAACCCUGGGAAAGCCGGUGGAAACUGUCGAGCUAGAGUCCGGAAGAGGCGAGUGGAAUCCUGGUGUAGCGGUGAAAUGCGCAGAUAUCAGGAGGAACACCGAUGGCGAAGGCAGGUCUCUGG